rnacentral:rRNA from 1 species
GUGGGGAAUAUUGGACAAUGGGCGAAAGCCUGAUCCAGCCAUGCCGCGUGUGUGAAGAAGGUCUUCGGAUUGUAAAGCACUUUAAGUUGGGAGGAAGGGCAGUAAGUUAAUACCUUGCUGUUUUGACGUUACCGACAGAAUAAGCACCGGCUAACUUCGUGCCAGCAGCCGCGGUAAUACGAAGGGUGCAAGCGUUAAUCGGAAUUACUGGGCGUAAAGCGCGCGUAGGUGGUUUUGUAAGUUGGAGGUGAAAUCCUCGGGCUCAACCUGGGAACUGCCUCCAAAACUGCAUGACUAGAGUACGGUAGAGGGUAGUGGAAUUUCCUGUGUAGCGGUGAAAUGCGUAGAUAUAGGAAGGAACACCAGUGGCGAAGGCGACUACCUGGACUGAUACUGACACUGAGGUGCGAAAGCGUGGGGAGCAAACAGGAUUAGAAACCCUGGUAGUCC